rnacentral:tRNA from 1 species
GUGGAUGUAGCUCAAUUGGUAGAGCAUUAUAUGAUAAGCUUUUUUCUUAAAGUCUGGGGUUCAAUUCCUUGCCUCUACA